rnacentral:rRNA from 1 species
CCAGACUCCUACGGGAGGCAGCAGUGAGGAAUAUUGGUCAAUGGGCGAGAGCCUGAACCAGCCAAGUCGCGUGAGGGAAGACGGUCCUAUGGAUUGUAAACCUCUUUUGUCGGGGAGCAAAAAGGCCUCGUGAGGCCACAAGUGAGAGUACCCGAAGAAAAAGCAUCGGCUAACUCCGUGCCAGCAGCCGCGGUAAUACGUAGGGGGCAAGCGUUAUCCGGAUUCACUGGGCGUAAAGGGAGCGCAGGCGGCACGGCAAGUCUGGUGUGAAAACCCGGGGCUCAACCCCGGGACUGCAUUGGAAACUGCCGGGCUGGAGUGUCGGAGGGGUAAGCGGAAUUCCUAGUGUAGCGGUGAAAUGCGUAGAUAUUAGGAGGAACACCAGUGGCGAAGGCGGCUUACUGGACGAUGACUGACGCUGAGGCUCGAAAGCGUGGGGAGCAAACAGGAUUAGAGACCCCAGUAAGC